AUGGAUUUUCAGGUGCAGAUUUUUCAAAUUCCUGUUAAACAGUGUCUCAGUCAUAAUAUCCAGAGGAAAAAAUGUGCUGACCCAGUCUCCGGCAAUCAUGGCUACAUCUCCAGGGGAGAAUGUCACCAUGACCUGCAGUGCUAGCUCAAAUGUAAGUUCUGGUAAGUUGCACUGGUAAAAGCAGUAGUCAGGCACUUCUCCCAAACUCUGGAUUUAUAGCACAUCCAACCUGGCUUCUGGAGUUCCAGCUCGCUUCAGUGGCAGUGGGUCUGGGACCUCUUACUCUCUCACAAUCAGCAGCGUGGAGGCUGAAGAUGAUGCCAAUUAUUACUGCCAGAAGUGGAGUGGUUACCCACCCA